GACGAACGCUGGCGGCGUGCCUAAUACAUGCAAGUCGAGCGAGCUUGCCUAGAUGAUUUUAGUGCUUGCACUAAAAUGAAACUAGAUACAAGCGAGCGGCGGACGGGUGAGUAACACGUGGGUAACCUGCCCAAGAGACUGGGAUAACACCUGGAAACAGAUGCUAAUACCGGAUAACAACACUAGACGCAUGUCUAGAGUUUGAAAGAUGGUUCUGCUAUCACUCUUGGAUGGACCUGCGGUGCAUUAGCUAGUUGGUGGGAUAACGGCCUACCAAGGCGACGAUGCAUAGCCGACCUGAGGGGCGAACGGCCACAUUGGGACUGAGACACGGCCCAA
rnacentral:rRNA from 1 species